UACGUAGGCAGCGAGCGUUGUUCGGAGUUACUGGGCGUAAAGGGCGCGUAGGCGGUCUCUUAAGCGUGUGGUGAAAGCCCGGGGCUCAACUCCGGGUCGGCCGUGCGAACUGGGGGACUGGAGCUUGUCAGAGGCAGGCGGAAUUCCGGGUGUAGCGGUGGAAUGCGUAGAGAUCCGGAAGAACACCGGUGGCGAAGGCGGCCUGCUGGGACAGUGCUGACGCUGAGGCGCGACAGCGUGGGGAGCAAACAGG
rnacentral:rRNA from 1 species